CCGGUGGAGGUGAAAUCAGACUCAGACCCAUUUCUUACAGAGCCCAACAGCCGCAAGCAACUUUACAGUAACCAGCUGAGAUGUGCUGCUCAGUGUGACAGCUAGAGGCACCAACCCAGAUCACAACCCCACCGCGCCAGGGGCUGCACAGACCUAGUAAGAGACAGCCCCUGCCCCAACAAGCUGACAGUCGACGUAGCUCCCCAGAAGGAAAAAACUACAGUGAUCUGGCUGGAAGGCCAAGCCACUAAGCAGGUGCAAUCGAGUCCAGAGAGAGAGAGAGACGGUGACCAUUUGCAGGAGUGGGUAUAGACCAGCAGAGCGAAUCUCCAGGCGCAGCCACAAAGAGA